rnacentral:rRNA from 1 species
GAUGAACGCUGGCGGCGUGCCUAAUACAUGCAAGUCGAGCGAACAGACGAGGAGAUUGCUCCUCUGACGUUAGCGGCGGACGGGUGAGUAACACGUGGAUAACCUACCUAUAAGACUGGGAUAACUUCGGGAAACCGGAGCUAAUACCGGAUAAUAUAUUGAACCGCAUGGUUCAAUAGUGAAAGACGGUUUUGCUGUCACUUAUAGAUGGAUCCGCGCCGCAUUAGCUAGUUGGUAAGGUAACGGCUUACCAAGGCAACGAUGCGUAGCCGACCUGAGAGGGUGAUCGGCCACACUGGAACUGAGACACGGUCCAGACUCCUACGGGAGGCAGCAGUAGGGAAUCUUCCGCAAUGGGCGAAAGCCUGACGGAGCAACGCCGCGUGAGUGAUGAAGGUCUUCGGAUCGUAAAACUCUGUUAUUAGGGAAGAACAAAUGUGUAAGUAACUAUGCACGUCUUGACGGUACCUAAUCAGAAAGCCACGGCUAACUACGUG